UUUAUUAAAGAGCAAGGAAUGUGUAUGGUAGUCUGCGUUCUUAUAUAUAUGUCAAAGGGACGAUGAGAACUAUUAAUAUGCUGGCACUAUGGCAACAUUAGCACAUCCCAGGCUUCUAUAUAUCUCUUCCAUUUUAUCUAUACCACAUUCCGCAUUCGCAAAAAGCUUUGAAGCAUUACAAUAAACCUACUGUAAAGAUUGAUCACCUGACGAGAACCACAUGUGUCAACACUUGAUUGACGCUUUUACUAUUAUCGUAAGAGCAAGAUAUAUUUUUACCGCUAACAAUGUAUGUUUAAUAUCGGUAUACGACCAUAGACU